AUUAUGUGCUGUGCAGCCUUGGACAAGUUACUUAACAAAAUUGAGCAUCUGUUUCCUUAAAAUAUCCUUAAACAGGGUAGAGAGAUAAUAUACUUUGCCAUUUUUGAUCUAUGGGGCUAUUGUAAUGAUCUGGUGGAUUUAUGAAAUUGUCAAGUGCAACAAACUUCUCUUUUAAAAGGACUAAAACAUGCUAACAUAGUGCUACUUCAUGACAUCAUCCAUACCAAGGAGACGCUGACACUUGUGUUUGAAUAUGUGCACACUGAUUUAUGUCAGUACAUGGACAAGCACCCUGGGGGGCUGCAUCCAGAUAAUGUGAAGUUGUUUUUAUUUCAGUUGCUGCGAGGUCUGUCUUACAUCCACCAGCGUUAUAUUUUGCACAGAGACCUGAAACCACAGAACCUUCUGAUCAGUGACACGGGGGAGUUAAAGCUGGCAGAUUUCGGUCUUGCAAGAGCAAAAUCCGUCCCUAGCCACACAUACUCCAACGAAGUGGUUACCUUGUGGUACAGACCUCCAGAUGUCCUUCUAGGCUCAACAGAAUA
rnacentral:lncRNA from 10 species